rnacentral:lncRNA from 1 species
AUCUCUUUCUGCUUCAUGUGAAGAGGCACAUCUGACCUUAUCUGUGUGGGUUUAUGGUGGGAGACAGGCCCUGUGGGUAUUUAUUGACUUGAACUGAGGGGUCUCUCUGGCAUGUAGUUAAGCUUCAGAAGUAAAACCUCCUAGGUCCUUAUUUAGGGUGAGCAGUUGGUGAAGGAAAGCAUCAAGUUAGUAUUUUUCUCAGACAUCUGCAUUUCCAACUGAUUUAACUGACAAGUUGUUUCUCUUUCAGGCCCCACGAUUGAUACAGAGGACUGUCAUAUGAACCAGAGAGGGUACCUGAAACCAAAGAGAGGACUCUAGUGUGUAGCCAAAGGCAUGCCUCCAGGGGUGAGAAGGAGCAGAUAUCUUGACAAACAGGGCAUCAGACCAGCUGUGCAUGGUCAGCCUCUGAUUUGGGCCCAAAAGGAAAAGAAAAUCAGAGGAGACAGUGACUCUCAGACUCUUCCUUGUUAAUGAGCAAGAGUUCCCUGGAUCCAAGAGGCCUUUGCCUUCUGGCUUGCAGCUUCACAUUUGCAAGGUGGCUGCUGCACAUCUAACCUUUACACCCACAUUCCAGGCAGGAAUACUUGGAAAGAAUAAGGGUAAGUGAUUCUCUCCUAGUGAGAAAUUUCUCCUUUGCUAUUUAUUCAGAAAGGCAUGUUUUCCUUCACAUUGGUCAAAUGAGAAAGUUGAGAAAUGGAAAAGUUGAGCUUUUUAGCCUAUUUGACAAAGGAAGUCAAGGGCAUGGGAAACUGUGGAUUGUGUAGGGGUAUAUAGUCCAUAGAGUCUGCCACAGUGUGUCUCCCCAGAAACACACACACACACACACACAAACAGCUUUGCCAGGUAAUUCCAGGGAGUUUCUCUAAGUGGGAAGUACGAGGGGAGCCACUCAGUAGGGCCAAACUGAAAAGAGCAGCUCCAGCGGAUUCUCAGCUCAGCCCAAAGCCAGGGAGCAUGAGAGAAGCAAUUGGUGGGGAGAAGAUAGAAGUCAAAAGAUAAAGUGAAACUCUGUGAGUGGGAGGGUAGAGAAAGCCGAGUGGCAUUGAAGGCUAUAAGCACCAGACAUGGUACUAACAGUGAAAAAGACAUACAGU